GUGAGGAAUAUUGGUCAAUGGACGAGAGUCUGAACCAGCCAAGUCGCGUGAAGGAAGACGGUUCUAUGAAUUGUAAACUUCUUUUUUGCAGGAAUAAAGUGUGUUACGUGUAACCUUUUGUAUGUACUGUACGAAUAAGGAUCGGCUAACUCCGUGCCAGCAGCCGCGGUAAUACGGAGGAUCCGAGCGUUAUCCGGAUUUAUUGGGUUUAAAGGGUGCGUAGGUGGAUUGAUAAGUCAGCGGUGAAAGUUUGCAGCUUAACUGUAAAAUUGCCGUUGAAGAUGUCGGUCUUGAGUGCAAAUGAGGUAGGCGGAAUGUGUUGUGUAGCGGUGAAAUGCUUAGAUAUAACACAGAACUCCGAUUGCGAAGGCAGCUUACUGGGAUGCAACUGACACGGAUGCACGAAAGCGUGGGUAUCAAACAGGAUUAGAAACCCGGGUAGUCC
rnacentral:rRNA from 1 species